GGAUUACUUGGUAGUCAUGGUGGAGGUCUGUGGGGUGCUUCUGAAAGUGAUCAAGUUUCUCAUGGAAGUCCUGAAGCAGUUAGAUCUGGUUUUACUAAAUCUUCUGUGUUGAAUGCGGGUGAACCCCUUGUUGAGCAAGAUUAUACGGGAAAGCUGCAGCAACCAGAAAUUGAAGUGAAUCACUCCGAAGGGACCCUGCCACCUGAGGAGUUUAUGUUCACGUACAUUGAUCCUCAAGGAGUAAUACAGGGACCGUUCAUUGGAUCUGACAUUAUUUCAUGGUUUGAGCAAGGGUUUUUUGGGACUGAUCUACAGGUCCGCUUGGCAACUGCUCCAGAAGGGACUCCUUUUCAAGAUCUAGGCAGUGUCAUGUCGUAUUUAAAGACGGAAAGUAUGCAAGCCCACAUCAAUGAUCAAAUCAUCGAGCUAGAACAGACUAGUAGAAAAGCAAAUUCGGAGAUUGGUUUAUCAUUUGCACCCGUAGAAGAUUCUAAUGGUUCAGCCUUAGGUCACGAUAAUGUUCAAAUGAAGUCUAAAUCAGAAGCUUAUGUGAAACCACCACAUCUUGAUGACCGAAGUUUCUUGGACUAUUCUGCUCAAGAUGAAGGUUUGUUAUUCUACUGACCUUUUCUCACUUGUGUGCAUUUGUGUGGUAUAAUACAUUUCUUUCUUCGGUUUUAUAUGCUUGUGUAGCCGAAUACAUUUCCUUCUUUCAUAAUCAUAUUAAUUAACUUUCUGUUCAUGAUAACUAAACAUACUUUUGUAUUUUUUUCUUAUUCAGAAAUCGUAUUCCCAGGAAGAGCUGGAGUUUCUGGUUAUGGAUCGGCAAAAUCCUCUACAAGUAUGCAUGAUGCUUUAAUGGGAGUUUCUGGCCACUCUGCUGUUCCUGUUGAAUCAGCGAAGGUUGCUACACAAAAUCAGAAUGAGAACAAGCUGCAUCCGUUUGGUGUGUUGUGGUCUGAGCUAGAGAGCAGUAGUACACCAGUUGAUCUUUUGCCUAACAGGUCGUAUGAUACAGGACAUGACCAGAAGUAUCUUGAUCAAGCUCGGGAUUUGGAUCAUUUAUUAACUCUCAAAUCGCAGCAGCAGCAGCAGCAACAAAAGAUUCAGUUGCAGCAGCAGCAGAAGAUUCAGUUGCAACAACGUCAACUAGAGCAAGAGUAUCAAUUACAACAGAAGCUCUUACGGGAGCAACAACAGUCCCAUGCUCGGAAUUUACAUUUUCAACAGAUUCUUCAAGGACAGACUCCUGAUUCAAGACUUGGGCAGUCGCAUGACUUCCAUCGACUCAACAAUGUUGAUCAGAUGAUAUUAGAGCAGCAACUAAUGGAUGAAUUGCAGAGUUCUGGCCAUAGAUCACAAAAUUUUACACCGUACAUGGAGCAGCUUGCCGCUGGAAAUUUUGGGCAGUUACCACAUGAAGGUCAUCAAAAAGAGCUACUUGAACAGCUACUUUCCGAACAAAUGCAAUCUCAAUACAGACAGAUGCAUUCUCAACAUGGACACAUGCAAUCUGAACCAAUACGGUCUUUGGAGUACCAGCUACUGCAACAAGAUCAGCUCAUGCGAUUGGCAAAUGGAGGGAGGCAAAAUACACUAUUGGAGGAACUGAGACAUAUUGACCCUCAACAUGGACAAUUGCAGUCUGAACCAAUACGGUCUUUGGAGUACCAAUGGAUGCAGCAAGAGCAGCUCAUGCAAUUGGCAAAUAGAGCGAGGAACAAUACCCUAUUGGAGGAACAUAGACAUAUUGAUCCUCUAUGGCCAUCCAACCGUAAUGAUCAGCUUCUAGGAGCUCAUCCUGGGAUCCACCGUUCACACUCUUCUGCGGGAUUUAGACCAGUAGACUUUCAUCAACAGCAGCAGGGGCCACCCUUUGAGGAUCACUUUAGUCAUCUUGAGCGGAACCUUUCAUAUCAGCAACAACUUAAUCAGGAAUUAUUCGAGCAAGGUCUACCCUUUGAGCGAUCUACAUCGUUACCCAGAAAUACAUCGGGGCUGAAUCUGGAUGCAGUAAAAGGUCUUAACUUCUCUGAGUUGCGGGAUGCCCAGAUGCAAUCCUCUGGUAGAUUAGGAAAUUCUACUCCGGGUUUCAGUCAUCAGAAUCCCCAUAUACAAUUAGGUGAACCUCAUUUUUCAGAAAUGGAACCAAGGAAAGAACGCUGGCAUGGAGCAGAUACACAGCUAGCUGGUGGCUGGGCUGAAACUCAGUUUCAUAGACCAAAUACUGAAGCUGACCAUCAUAAAAUGAGGUCAGAAAUGAGGAGAGCUGGCGAAGAUUCCAACUCAUGGAUGGUAGAUGGACAUACGGAUGAAAAGUCAAAACAGCUUUUUAUGGAGUUGCUUCACCAGAGGCCUGGCCAUCAACCUCUCGAGUCACCAAGCAUGAAUCGUGGGGAACCCUAUGACAGGAUGGCUGCUUCAGGCUUCGGCUUUGCAGACCAUGGUGGUAGGCAAAACGCUUCAUCUUCUUUUGGGUCGCACACAUCUUCUGAUGAACAUGUAAACGGAUUACCAGGAGAUAGGAACUAUAUGGGAUCGUUGCAGCGUGAUAAUUCAUUACUUUCUGGAAGUACCGAUGGUGGAAGAAAAAAUGAAACUAAAGACUUCAGUAAUAUGCUUGGUAUGAGCAAAGACGUGAAUGACAUCAGAACGUGGAACAAUGCACCACCGAAAAAGGAAGGAGCGGGGUUGAUGUCAUUUGAAGCACAAGACAGAAUGGGAAAGCAAGCAGUAAUGGAUUCCUUGGUUCAAGGGGAGGUUCCUGUUGCUACGCUUGGCAGACAGUCUUCUUCCAGUAUCUCUGGUAUGUAUCUUCCAGAGUUUAGAUUUCCUUUUCCCUGAAUAUAUCAUGUUUUUUUUUGUUAUGGGGGCUUAUGUUGAUAUUUUCUUUCUGCAGAGUCAUACAGUGACAACUUGGUUGGAGAAGUUAGAAAGGAUAGGUAAUUUUGUACUCUUAACGUUUAGCAACCGUAGAUUAGGUUAGUAGUAAAUCGCCAUGUGAGCUCUUAUUUGAUUAAAUGUUUUUAUUGUUAUAGGUUGGUAGUUCCAUCACACGGGCAGGUAUCAGUUUUGUUAAAAAGGCCUCCCUCAUCGCAUGAGGGAUUGCUCGAGCAGAUGUCCGAUGCAACUAACAGAACAGCAGUGGGAAAUAAAGGGUCAAAGGCGUCGUUCAGUGAGAUGUUGAAGAAUAGUAGUAGCAAUAGCAGCAUGAAGAAAGUGGCAGCAGAGCCAUCUUCUGAUCCAAACGAAGGAAACAAAGGCGGUGGUGGGAAGAAGAAAGGCAAGAAAGGGAGGCAGCUUGAUCCAGCUCUUCUCGGUUUCAAAGUCACUAGCAAUCGCAUUCUUAUGGGUGAAAUUCACCGCGCUGAUGACUUUUAGUCAAUUCUGAUACCCUGAGAUCCAUUCAAGCGUUUCUUCUUCUCCGGCGUAAUCAUGGUAUAAUUCGAUCUUUGCCUAUAAGUAAACCCUUCUUAUGUUUUUGUUUCUCUUUGAUUUUUGAUGGUCAAUGCUUUUCUCUUUGUUUGAAAUAUGAAUCACGUGAACAUUGUUUCAACUAGCUAGAUGAGUCCUAAUAAUAUCUUUACAAAAUCACAUAUUUUUCGAAAUUUGAAUUGGAUUAGCUUACUUAUAUCUGCAUUAUUGUGGAUUGUUUACUUGAUUUUUUUUUUUGUUGAGUGUGAAUGAAUACUUGAUCCGGGAUGAACCAUUACUAACUACAAUCAUGGUGGAUCCGGGAUAUGAUAUUGAUUGAUUUGGUUAUUGCAGAAAACUUACAAAGCUGACUCGCAGACAGGAAAGUGGAGAAGUUUGACAACGUUUAUAAAGAGAGGUUUUGUUCCUGAGACCACUACGUGUACGUUUAUGUGUAUCUCUUUAAGAUAACCUGUAAGGAACCAUGGUCUGGAAUAUGAAUCAUUCCUGUAUACAAUGUGUAUGUUACAGCUCUCUUCCAGAUCAUGAGGACUGCAGCUAGCGGAGAUACGGCAUAAACCGAAUCACAUUCAAGCUAGAAGAAUCAAGUUUAGAAAUGAAUCAUUCUUCUGUCUUUCUCUUCUUUUACCGUAGAAUGCAACUUUAUGUUUACUUGUGCAUGCUAAUGUAAUAAAUAGUAUUUUCUACAAGUUAUCAUAUCUUCAAGUUAGUUCACUUGGUACGACCCACACGCAGUUGAUACCCUCUCUGUAUACAAGGAGCAAGUGUAGUUUCCACUAGAUCUCGUCAAGUCUUAUGAGGUUGAUUACUCACAGGUUUAAGGAGUUCUGACCAGGUACAGAGAGAUUAAAGGGAAGCAUGUGCGCACGUGGCAUGAUACUCGGGAUCGUUAGCCGAGAAAUCAGAUACGAUUUUUUAGUAUAUCCUUUUUCCGAAUUUUAAAAUAAUAAAAACUUUAAAUAACUAUUGCUCAACAACCUUAGAAAAGAGCUUGUUCUUAUAUAAAAAUCUCAACUAUCUUCAUCAUGCCUAUGUGGGAUUCUCCACUUUGCCAUUAUUACAUUUUUUCGGGCUUUAGACUGUACGAAGCCCAAGUCAUUCUCUUCACACAUUAACUAAAGCCCAAUAGCAUUUAAUUGGCCCAAUAAGAAUAGCAAAUUUCGAUCCACUUUUCUAGGUUUGCGAAGGUAAAGUUGAAACGAGGAGGACCAUAAAAACCAACUCGAAAGGCAAUUAAAAACAAAAUAAUAGAAAUUUUCUUCAAGAUCGCGAUCUUCAAUCCCGAAUCCCUAAUCCAUUCAAGCUUCUCCUCUCUUCUCCGGCGUAAUCAUGGUAUACUUCCUGUAAAGUCAACCCUUCCCUUUUUGUUAAAUCUGUGCAGCUUCUUCUUCUCUCUGUAACUCCGAUCUCCCAGAUCUGAUUCACGAGCUUAACUAUCAAUGUUUGAAUCACGCGAAGUUUGUUUUCAAUUAGCUAAAUUGAGAUCCUAAUUUCGAAUCGGAUUAGCUGAAUUUCUUUUACUCUUUGUUUUGUGGUUGUUAGGACGUUCGAUCUCCUGCUCCCGUUCCCGUUGGAUCUCGGCGGCGUGAUAACAAGUGGUCAUCUCGUUGGGGUCCUGACGAUAAAGAGAAAGAGAAAGAAACCAAGGUUGACUACAACAACAAGGACAACAAGGAGGAGGCUCAGAGUGAAACUCAAUCUGUGAUUGGGAGCCUCCGUGAGUCUGAGACUCGUGAUAAAUGGAGGCCACGUCAUCGGAUGGAGCAGGUCCAGAGUGGUGGACCAGCUUCUUACCGUGCUGCGCCUGGGUUUGGACUUGAUAAAGGACGAAGUGAGGGUCCAAACAUAGGGUUCACCGUUGGUCGGGGUAGGGCGAGGGGUACUUGGUCUGCUUUCUUUGGCGCUGGAGGGUUCUUGAGAAACGAAAGCGUUCCUGGUAAACCUGCGCCUACGUGUCGGUAUGUGAGGGGGAAGUUGCUUGACUUGUAUAGAAACCAGAAGCCUGAUAGGAUGCCUAUUGAUAUGGAGGAGGUUGAUUCUGUAACUCAAGUGGCUUUGAUUGAACCUCUUGCUUUUAUUGCCCCUGGUGUUGAAGAAGAGGUAUGAUCCUUACUUGAGGACUUGCUUUUUUCCUUUCUCAUGAGUGUGUCAUUGUUUUGUAACUAAUUUUCAUGUGUUUAUGGUCUGGGUGUUAUAUAUUUAUUUCAGGAAAGCCUUAAGGGUAUAUGGAAGGGUAGGAUCACUAGUAGCGAAGCUCACACUUCACCUGGGGAAGAAUCUUUAGCUGAGGAGAGUAUGGGUAUGUGUAAUCUUGUUUUUUCGUUGCUUUGCUUCUAUCUUUCCAACUAGCUUGGAUAAUGAAUGCUUCUGUGACUUGAUUCAGGUGAGACGAAAGUGGAUGGUGCUUUGCUAGGGGUUAUGAGUGGUGACAGUGUUUCCAUGCAUAAUAGUAAUUCAGGUAUGUGAAUAAUAGGUGCUAUACGGGUAUUCAAAUUCAUGAGUAUUAAAGCUUAAGUCCAUUGUUAUGAGUUUGAUGGUAUUUUAGUGUUCUAUUAUAUAUUCUGACCCAUAUCCAAACAACUGUUGCUGUAGGAGUACUUGGUAGUCAUAAUGGAGGCUUGUGGGGUGCUUCUGAAAGUGAUCAAGUUUCUCGUGGAAGUCCUGAAGCAGUUAGAUCUGCUUUUGAUAAAUCUUCUGUGUUGGAUGCGGAUGAACCCAUUGUUACGGGAAAGCUGCAGCAACCUGAUAUUGAAGUGAAUCACUCCGAAGGGACUCUGCCACCUGAGGAGUUUAUGUUCUCGUACAUUGAUCCUCAAGGAGUAAUACAGGGACCGUUCAUUGGAUCUGACAUUAUUUCAUGGUUUGAGCAAGGGUUUUUUGGGACUGAUCUACAGGUCCGCUUGGCAACUGCUCCAGAAGGGACUCC
rnacentral:lncRNA from 1 species